CUCCAGACUCCUACGGGAGGCAGCAGUGGGGGAUAUUGCACAAUGGGGGGAACCCUGAUGCAGCGACGCCGCGUGGGUGAAGAAGCGCCUCGGCGCGUAAAGCCCUGUCAGCAGGGAAGAAAAUGACGGUACCUGAAGAAGAAGCCCCGGCUAACUACGUGCCAGCAGCCGCGGUAAUACGUAGGGGGCAAGCGUUAUCCGGAUUUACUGGGUGUAAAGGGAGCGUAGACGGCAGUGCAAGUCCGGAGUGAAAGCCCGGGGCUCAACCCUGGGACUGCUCUGGAAACUGUAAAGCUGGAGUGCGGGAGGGGCAGGCGGAAUUCCUGGUGUAGCGGUGAAAUGCGUAGAUAUCAGGAGGAACACCGGCGGCGAAGGCGGCCCGCUGGACCGUAACUGACGUUGAGGCUCGAAAGCGUGGGGAGCAAACAGGAUUAGAUACCCCCGUAG
rnacentral:rRNA from 1 species